ensembl:snRNA U6 U6 spliceosomal RNA
GUGCUCCCUUUGGCAGCACGUAUACUAAAUUUGGAACCACACAAAGAUUAGCAUGGCCUCUGCACAAGGAUGACAGGCAAAUUCAUGAAGCGUUCCAUUAAAAA